UGAAAUUAGUAUAUUCCCGAGCGGGUGAAGACCUAACAGAUUUCCAAGAGAAAUGCAAAGUAAGUGGGUCAAAAGUGGUACUAUGUCCAAGGUUAAUGUUAUGUUCAACGAGAAAGCCGCUGAAAGAUUGGAAGAUGACAAAAAGAAGGCAUGGGAAGAAGAGAAGCCAAUCAUCCCUAGAUUCAUGUUCAAAAAACACGGA
rnacentral:lncRNA from 1 species